rnacentral:misc_RNA from 1 species
CAGAGAUUUUCUGAGGAAGAAGCUGCAUUUCUUCGUUCUCUUGGGUGGGAAGAAAAUUCUGGGGAGGACGAGGGCCUUACAGAAGAUGAGAUUAAUGCUUUCUAUCAGCAGUGCAUGAAAUUGAGGCCGACCUUGAAACUCUGUCCAGGCAUGCAGCAAAAGCUGCUUGAAUCUCAUGCAGCUGGUACGGGUGGAGCUUCCUCUGAACUGAGCUCUUCUGACUCUGGAUUGGAAACUUGAUGCUGUUCCCUUGAAUUAGAUCCGAGAAAUACCAAUUUUUGAUGGCAGAUGGUUAAUUUCCUUUUUUCUUUUUUCCCUCUUUUUUCCCUUCCUCUUCUUUUGAAGAAAGCUGAUGAGUUGAAUGUGAAAGGAAGGGUGGAUAUUUGGUGAAACUCUGCAUUUUGCAAAUAGUGCAAUAAGUCACAGGUGCCUCAAUCCUGCCUUCCCAAUAGAGGGGAAUUUUACAAGGUGUCAGGUUGGUUUUAGGAGAGGGUAGGAUACUAUAUUGUCUGCAAUGGAAGAUGUUAGGGAAAUUACAUCUUUUGGGGGUAUUUUUUUCUCUUCUUUUUCUUUUCAAGAGGGCUUGAUUCUGCAAGGUAAAAAAAAAAAAAAGGCUUUAUGGUGUUUUUGUCAAUUUAACG